rnacentral:rRNA from 1 species
AUUGAACGCUGGCGGCAGGCCUAACACAUGCAAGUCGAACGAGUGGCGGACGUGUGAGUAAUGUCUGGGAAACUGCCUGAUGGAGGGGGAUAACUACUGGAAACGGUAGCUAAUACCGCAUACCAUCGGAUGUGCCCAGAUGGGAUUAGCUAGUAGGUUGGGUAAAGGCUCACCUAGGCGACGAUCCCUAGCUGGUCUGAGAGGAUGACCAGCAACACUGGAACUGAGGCACGGUCCAGACUCACACGGUGGGCAGCAGUGGUGCAUAGGGCACAAUGGGCGGAAGCCUGAUGCAGCACUGCCGCGUGUAUGAAGAAGGCCUUCGGGUUGUAAAGGACGUUAAGCGGGGAGGCGUUACCCGCAGAAGAAGCACCGGCUAACUCCGUGCCAGCAGCCGCGGUAAUAC